CUGCUUCUUAAGGUCCAGGAAGAUGAUGAAAGCCUUAUGACUGACAAAGAUAUUAGGGUUCAAGUUAGCACGUUUAUGUUCGCGGGACAUGACACCGUGACGACUGCCAGUUGCUGGGUCCUUUUUAUCUUGGGCAUAUACCCUGAAUUUCAAAAUAAGGUCGUGGACGAGUUACACCAGGUUUUCGGCAGCUCGGGACGCGCACCCAUGAUGAACGAUUUGGCCGAGUUGAAAUAUCUCGAGCGGUGCAUUAAAGAUACAAUGAGACUGUACCCCAGUGUCCCUUUCUUUGAGCGACAGCUUCGAGAGAAUGUUCACUUUCACGGUAUGUUGAAAAUGAUCUUGAGAUUUUUUGAUAAAUUUUAUAUUUCCGUGUAAUUAACAGAUGGGCGUAUUGCACCUGCUGGCGUUACGGCGUCUUUCAACGUAUAUUCCAUUCAUAGAAAUCCUGAAAACUUUCCUGACCCAGAGAGGUUCGACCCUGACCGAUUUUUGCUGGAAAAUUCAGCAGGACGACAUCCGUACUCCUACAUCCCGUUUAGCGCAGGACCUAGAAAUUGCAUAGGUCAAAAAUUUGCAAUGCUUGAAAUUAAGGUGGUCUCGUGUCAACAAUUUUGCGUCAUUUUGAAGUGGUGCCAGAACACUCAAUUGAUGAAGCAAUAAUGGAGGUUGCAUUGGUAUUGCGGCCACAGAACGGACUGACAGUGCGACUCCGAGACCGCGGAGUAGAUAAUAAUUUAAAACUACGAAUGGAAUAAACCCGAAAUGAAAUUAAAAAGCCUAGUAG